rnacentral:rRNA from 1 species
AGCCACUGCUAUUGGGAUCCGACUAAGCCAUGCGAGUCGAGAGGGUUCGGCCCUCGGCAGACUGCUCAGUAACACGUGGAUAACCUAACCUUAGGUGGAAGAUAACCUCGGGAAACUGAGAAUAAUAUUCCAUAGAUCUAGGAUGUUGGAAUGCAUCUAGAUUGAAAGUUCCGACGCCUAAGGAUGGGUCUGCGGACUAUCAGGUUGUAGUCAGGGUAAAGACCUGACUAGCCUACGACGGAUAUGGGUUGUGAGAGCAAUAGCCCAGAGACGAUAUCUGAGACACGAUAUCGGGCCCUACGGGGCGCAGCAGGCGCGAAGUCUCCACAAUGUGCGAAAGCACGAUGAGGGGAUCCCAAGUGCUGGCACGUAAGUGUCAGCUGUUUUUUAGUCUAAAAAACUGAGAGAGUAAGAGCUGGGUAAGACGGGUGCCAGCCGCCGCGGUAAUACCUGCAGCUCAAGUGGUGGCCGCUAUUAUUGGGCCUAAAACGUCCGUAGCCUGUUUAGUAAAUGCUUGGGUAAAUUGUGUAGCUUAACUAUACAAAUACCGGGUAGACUGCUAAACUUGGGACCGGGAGAGGCUAGAGGUACUCCUGGGGUAGAGGUGAAAUUCUGUAAUCCUAGGGGGACCACCAGUGGCGAAGGCGUCUAGCUAGAACGGGUCUGACGGUGAGGGACGAAGCCCUGGGGCGCGAACCGGAUUAGAUACCCGGGUAGUCCAGGGUGUAAACGCUGCUUGCUUGAUGUUAGUUGGGCUCCGAGCCCAACUAGUGUCGGAGAGAAGUUGUUAAGCAAGCUGCCUGGGAAGUACGGUCGCAAGACUGAAACUUAAAGGAAUUGGCGGGGGAGCACAGCAACGGGUGGAGCGUGCGGUUU